rnacentral:misc_RNA from 1 species
GUGAACACUGCUAUAAGUAGCAGAUAUCAAACAGGUAACAUGCCAAAACGGUAUCAAAUUUGUUUGAGAUGUCACUAAUUUAGUUAUCACAGAAAUCACAACACGUUAGUCAAAGAACAAUAGUAGAAAUUUCCUUAGCUUCUCAAAUAUAACAAGUAAAACACAGAUUGGCAACAACUAUACCAUAACUACGUUACUUGAUUUAGUCUUGAUUUCCUUUUCAACUAUGAUAAUAUGCAUUCAAUUGUUCCAGAGCUCUAGCUGCUCUUUCGUGCACCAUCUACUGUUAGAACUAUAUAGACGAAAGUUGAUUUUCCUAACAACUCCAAGGAGCUUAUCUUUGCCAUAUCCGCCAUCAAGCAGAACUCCUGAAGCCAACAUUGAUAUUAUCCCUUUACAGAAAGAAAUCCUUAGUCAUCUUCAGAAUCAAAGUACCACCCCCAAAAUCCAUUUCUGUCUCCAUUUGUUGGCCGAGUUUCUCCAGCCACUUCGCUAAAUCCAUUAUUCUUACGCGCCCCUCCGAUUCCCAGAUUCCCCCCUUGACUCCAGCUUUAUAUAUUUCUUCCCCUUCCCCAUCACCUUCAUCGUGUUCCUUGCCACCCACUUAACUUUCCCCAUCACCUUCAUCCCCUCUUUUUUUACCUCUAUUCUCACACUCCCUUGCAUCACAGACUCUGCCUCACCAACUCUCACAUUCCCAUGGACUCUAUCAACCCCAUUCUUCACCAUCUCUCCUUCUACGCCCAGGCCACUAUUUUCCCCAUUUUUGUCUUCUCCAGUCUCUUGAUUGCCUAAAUCAUCAUCACUAUCAUCAGAGAUUACCACCACAUUCUCCACAACUUCUUUAAACGCCUCAUUAUUUCCUUUCUUUUCAUCGAAGCAAGAAUCACCGCCACCACUUUCCCCUUUCUUGCCACCCAAGCAACCUUCAAAAUCGUACCUCAACGGAAAAUACCCAACCCCACAAUAAUACUGCUCCUUCCCUUCCACCACCACACCCACCGGAGGCGGCGGCACUGCGACCCCAUGAAAGGGCCUCCUACAGUUUUGACACCUCAAACAACACUCCUCGUAAAUCCCAUCAUACUCAUGCAGGCAAUAACAGUAGGGGCACACGGUCCAAAAUGACCUGUUUCCAUUCUUCUGGGGUUCAUCGCUAGUGUUUUUGACCCCAUGGUAUUGUUGGGAUAUCUUUU